GCUGGGCAUGGUGGCACAGGCCUGUAGUCCCAGCUACUUGGGAGGCUGAGGCAGGAGGAUUGCUUGAGCCCAGGAGACGGAGGUUGCAGUGAACUGAGAUCAUGCCACUGCACUCCAGCCUGGGCAAUAGAGCAAGACUCUGUCUCAA
rnacentral:SRP_RNA from 1 species